rnacentral:rRNA from 1 species
GUGGGGAAUAUUGGACAAUGGGCGAAAGCCUGAUCCAGCCAUGCCGCGUGAGUGAUGAAGGCCUUAGGGUUGUAAAGCUCUUUCAGUAGGGAAGAUAAUGACGGUACCUACAGAAGAAGCCCCGGCUAACUUCGUGCCAGCAGCCGCGGUAAUACGAAGGGGGCUAGCGUUGUUCGGAUUUACUGGGCGUAAAGCGCACGUAGGCGGAUUGGUCAGUUAGAGGUGAAAUCCUGGAGCUCAACUCCAGAACUGCCUUUAAUACUGCCAGUCUAGAGUCCAGAAGAGGUGAGUGGAACUCCUAGUGUAGAGGUGGAAUUCGUAGAUAUUAGGAAGAACACCAGUGGCGAAGGCGGCUCACUGGUCUGGUACUGACGCUGAGGUGCGAAAGCGUGGGGAGCAAACGGGAUUAGAUACCCUUGUAGUCC